GAAAUGCGAUAAGUAAUGUGAAUUGCAGAAUUCAGUGAAUCAUCGAAUCUUUGAACGCACAUUGCGCCCGCCAGUAUUCUGGCGGGCAUGCCUGUCCGAGCGUCAUUUCAACCAUUAAGCCCCCGGGCUUGUGUUGGGGACCUGCGGCUGCCCGCAGGCCCUGAAAACCAGUGGCGGGCUCGCUGUCACACCGAGCGUAGUAGCAAUCACCUCGCUCAGGGCGUGCUGCGGGUUCCGGCCGUUAAACAGCCUUACAAAACCCAAGGUUGACCUCGGAUCAGGUAGGAAGACCCGCUGAACUUAAGC
rnacentral:misc_RNA from 1 species